AAGUCGUAACAAGGUAUCCGUUGGUGAACCAGCGGAUGGAUCAUUACCUGAAGAAACAUCAUUUCAAAAUGGUGUGGUUGAUUCGUCAACCUCUGGCGUGGCUGGUGAAUCAGCCUGCCAGGACUUGUAGUGUGUAUUGAUGAUGCACGCUUGAUGAGUAAAGGUAUUGCUGGAUUGGCGAGAUGCAUCCUCAAUUCCUGAGACUGCCAUUGACUGACACUUAAGCGAUUGUUGUAAAAGAUUGACAACUGCUGGCCGUGGAUCACUUGGCUGACG
rnacentral:misc_RNA from 1 species